GGCGACGAGAACAUACCUCGUUGCCUUUGUUUCAGGUACUGGAAGACUACUAUCGUGCUCAAUCCAAAUCAUUAAGCUCGAAAAAUCUGCAGGUUCACCAGUGGAGCAAAUGACGGAAUUUUAUAGUCAUACUCGUUGGAUUCAUGUUUUGCUGGGGCGUUUUUUCGAAUAACAGUGUGGUAAACGCGAUAAAAGAGGUGCUAAAAGAGAAGAUAGUGCUCCUUCAAGUUAUCGUGCUCAGAGGCACGCCGCACACUUAAUUGAACAUUCGUUUCCUCGAGAUUCUAUUUUUUUCAUUCUUUUCGAGAUAAAAACAUAAUCAUUGCUUUUAACAAUGUAUGUGUUUCGUGUAUUCACCAAAGUGGUAAAGGUACAAAAUGUAGUAGAUUCUUUCUCUCGAAUUAAAACU